rnacentral:lncRNA from 1 species
CUGCUGUAAAGACAUACCUGAGAGCAGCAAUAUAUAAAGUAAAGAGGUUUAAUUGUCUCACAGUUCCACAGGCUGGAAGAGAAGCAUGAAGACUUCCGCUUGACUUCUGGGGAAGCCUCAGGAAACUUCAGUCAUGGUAGAAGGCAAAGGAGGAACCAGGCACUUCACAGGGUCAGAGUAGGAGGAAGAAGGAGAGGGACGAGAUGCCACCCACUUUAAAACAACUAGAUCUCAGAACUCACUAUGGAUAUGACAGCACCAAGGGGGAAGUCUGCCCCCAUGAUCAAAUCGCCUCCCACCAGGCCCCAUGAAAUUUGGGUGGGGACACAGAUCCAAAUCAUAGCAUGCCCACGGACAGACCGCCUGGAACCACGCAAUUAAGAGAGACUAGUGAUUUGGGGCUUAAACGUCCUCCAAUCAAGACUCGAUUUCUCACUCCCUUGACUCCUUUUCCCAUGCCUUGCAAUUUUUGCAUUUAUGAUCUCCUACUCCCUGACUCCUCCUUGAAGCACACUUUCAUUUUGCACCUAAACACUAUGUCUCCCCAGUCUGCAGAUUGCUUUUAGAAAAUAAAGUUCUCCUUUUGCCUCCGCAAAGCUCAUUGGUUUUUUGUGAACAGAACAUAGUAAAGGCUCAUUAUACGCUUUUCCUCUUCCAUGCCUCAACCUUUAUAAAUGCACAGAAGGUUAUAUAUGUUGUCAGCAUACAUUAGCAACAAUACAUGACAUUUAUGGAAAGUAAGAGUACCUCAGGAUCAAAUACACCACAUAUUUUAAAUUAUCACAUCUCAUUUUUCUUCACUCUGCUACUGCAAGCAUGUUAACAAAUUAUUCAGUAAUAGGUACUAAGAGUUCAUGGUCUACAACGUUCCUUCAAGAAAACUACUUGCUAUGAAAGCAGAAAAUGAGAAGCACAAACUAAAAAAGAAAAAAAAAAAAAUCUUGAUUAGAUGUUCAAAUAUCAGAGAAUUUAAAUAGAAGAGAUUUUUUUUUUCUUAUCUGAGUGCCAGAACUACUCAAUUCCACAGAAUUCUGCUUAAUAAUCAUUCAAAUGAUUGUUAAUCCAAACAGGGAUGAUCCAGG